rnacentral:rRNA from 1 species
GACGAACGCUGGCGGCGUGCUUAACACAUGCAAGUCGAACGGAAAGGCCCUGCUUUUGUGGGGUGCUCGAGUGGCGAACGGGUGAGUAACACGUGAGUAACCUGCCCUUGACUUUGGGAUAACUUCAGGAAACUGGGGCUAAUACCGGAUAGGAGCUCCUGCUGCAUGGUGGGGGUUGGAAAGUUUCGGCGGUUGGGGAUGGACUCGCGGCUUAUCAGCUUGUUGGUGGGGUAGUGGCUUACCAAGGCUUUGACGGGUAGCCGGCCUGAGAGGGUGACCGGCCACAUUGUGACUAAGAUACGGCCCAGACUCCUACGGGAGGCAGCAGUGGGGAGUAUUGCACAAUGGGCGGAAGCCUGAUGCAGCAACGCCGCGUGCGGGAUGACGGCCUUCGGGUUGUAAACCGCUUUCGCCUGUGACGAAGCGUGAGUGACGGUAAUGAGUAAAGAAGCACCGGCUAACUACGUG